rnacentral:misc_RNA from 1 species
GAUGAAGAACGUAGCGAAAUGCGAUAAGUAAUGCGAAUUGCAGAAUUCCAGUGAGUCAUCGAAUCUUUGAACGCACAUUGCGCCCUUUGGUAUUCCGAAGGGCAUGCCUGUUCGAGCGUCAUUAUCACCCCUCAAGCCCCCGGCUUGGUGUUGGACGGUUUGGCGGAGGCCCUCCGGGGCCCUUGCCCCUCCCAAAGACAAUGACGGCGGCCUCGUUGGACCCCCGGUACACUGAGUUCUUUACGGGACACGUACUGGAGUAAGGGUGCGCGGGGCACGGUCUGCCUCCCCUCAGGGAGAAUCUUUUUUUACAAGGUUGACCUCGGAUCAGGUAGGGAUACCCGCUGAACUUAAGCAUAUCAAUAAGCGGAGGA